rnacentral:rRNA from 1 species
AGCGAACGCUGGCGGCAGGCCUAACACAUGCAAGUCGAACGAACUCUUCGGAGUUAGUGGCGGACGGGUGAGUAACACGUGGGAACGUGCCCUUUGGUUCGGAAUAACUCAGGGAAACUUGUGCUAAUACCGAAUGUGCCCUUCGGGGGAAAGAUUUAUCGCCAUUAGAGCGGCCCGCGUCUGAUUAGCUAGUUGGUGAGGUAACGGCUCACCAAGGCGACGAUCAGUAGCUGGUCUGAGAGGAUGACCAGCCACACUGGGACUGAGACACGGCCCAGACUCCUACGGGAGGCAGCAGUGGGGAAUCUUGCGCAAUGGGCGAAAGCCUGACGAAGCCAUGCCGCGUGAAUGAUGAAGGUCUUAGGAUUGUAAUAUUCUUUCACCGGGGACGAUAAUGACGGUACCCGGAGAAGAAGCCCCGGCUAACUUCGUG